AGCUUAACACAUGCAAGUCGAACGGAUUUUUAUCAUAGCUUGCUAUGAUAAAAAUUAGUGGCAGACGGGUGAGUAAUGCAUAGGAAUCUACCUAGUAGUAUGGGAUAGCCACUAGAAAUGGUGGGUAAUACUGUAUAAUCCCUGCGGGGGAAAGAUUUAUCGCUAUUAGAUGAGCCUAUGUUAGAUUAGCUAGUUGGUAGGGUAAAGGCCUACCAAGGCAGUGAUCUAUAGCUGGUCUGAGAGGAUGAUCAGCCACACUGGAACUGAGAUACGGUCCAGACUCCUACGGGAGGCAGCAGUGGGGAAUAUUGGACAAUGGGCGCAAGCCUGAUCCAGCUAUGCCGCGUGAGUGAGGAAGGCCUUAGGGUUGUAAAACUC
rnacentral:rRNA from 1 species